UAACUCAGGGAAUUCCCCAGACGCUUUUAGCGCAUCGGCACCGAUGCGCUAAAAUUUCAGAACAAGAAAUCCCGAUGCGCUUAAAAUUAUCAUAGCGCUUUAAAAAAUGACCGAUAUUCCUUUCUAUUGAGUCUAUAAGUUAACCCCAAUUAGCCAAAUAAACAAGCCAAUAUACAUGUCCUGUGGAGAUAAUUACCCGAGGCGUAUACACAACCCGAUACACUGAUUGCCUUGAGACUGUGUGACGUCACAGACACCUGUCAUCGAUGUCUGCAGACGACUGUUGGUGCACUUUCAGGUGUUGUCAAUUACCCUGUAUUGAGAUGGGUGCAAUUUAACUGCGGCAUGUGUGAUAUUUACAUGUUUCAGGCCCUCUUUAAUCGAGCCUGUUCAUGGACAGCUUUGUGAAGUGCAAUCUACUGUCUAUGCCCCUUAGCAUUUGUUUGUCAGGACACACAGGAGCUGGCCAGGCACUUUUGUGUAGAUAUGGAGCAGUGACGCAGCCACUGGCACCAGGUACGUGCCCGUCUAGAGGGAAUUGAUCAGUUAGCCGACCAGACCAUGACCUAGAUUACUGGCAACCUUUCUACCAGUCAUCCAGUCCUUUAAAGAAUUGCUGCUGUGGGUCUCCUCCUCCCAACCUCUACUGCAGAUUGUGAGCGAGGAUUCAGCUGCCUGAAGAGAGUUAAGACUGAAAACAGGAAUUGUCUCUCUGUUAAAGUUCUAAACUAUCUUCUUGCCGUCUCCCAUUAGAAUCUUUCAACUUUGAGAAGGCAGUCAAGGCAUGGAAGGACAACAAACCUAGAAGACAGGCCCACUUUUAAUGAUGUUAAUGAAGAAAAAACAACUGAAACAUAUUUAAAUGGGACACUCAUACAUAUAAAUGUUGAUCACAUGUUGUGAACUUGUGUUUAUAUAUAAUUGUUAAUUUAUUUGAAUUGUUGGAUAUGCAAAAAAUAAAUAAUGAAAAUUAAGAAAAUGUUUAUCAAGUGAAAAACUUUCAUUAUUUGUUUUAAAACAGCCCACAGCAGUAUCUUGACACCUAAAAUGGCAAAAAUUUUCGACACGCGGUAUGGGGGUCAAGACCCCCUCCCGCUCCCACCCCCGUCUAAUUAAAAAAAUGUAGCGCUUAAAAAAAUCCUGGGAAUUCCCUGUAACUGGAACAAAAUAUUUCUUAAAUAAAACCAUACAACACAAGAGGGCCAUGAUGGCCUUAGAUCGCUCACCUGACUUAUCAAACUCAUCCAAACAAUUACCUAGACAAGCAUUCUGACCAAGUCUCAUGACAGGUGAGUCAAAAAUGUGACCACUACAGUGUUAACAAGGAUUAUCCAUAUUUG